UAAGCCGAAACCAAGAGUCAGACACUUAACGGACUGAGCCCUCCAAGUACCCCCACCAUAUUCUUUUUAUGUGAUUAUUAAUCAAAACGCAAAAUGCUUUUUUCCCCUUUCUCAUACAGAAUUGGUGGCCCCUUCAUCCGACUUCUGUGACUCGCCAAGGGCUCCCAUUCUAUGUCUUCCUCACCCUCCCUUUUAUCCCCUCCUUCUUCUGUGGUCAUGAUAUGCACUCUGUGGAUGGCCGUUCCAGAAGUACUGAGUGUCUUAUCUAUAUAUUCUCUUAUUUCCUUAGAAUUACUCAUAGCUUGCUUUUGAUCUCAGGGACUCUGGCUCUUGUUAUUUCUAAUGACAUUUCUAUUCCACAUAUUCCAUCUGCGUUCUGACCUGACCCGCAUGGCAGGCCAUGGAGACGGCAGGGUUAACACCUUCGGCCCAGGCUGCUGCUGGGCUGUCUCCCCUUUGUGGAUGUCCCCAGGCACUCCAGGGCCCAGCCAUCCUUCUUCUCUACACUUGGGUCUGGGUGUUUCCAAAAUGCAUCCAUUCAGUUCAGCUGCCUUUUAAGCAACAUCUGUUACCAGUUUUCUCUCCUCAUCUAACGAAGGAGACAUCGCUUAUUUUAACCUUGGUUGUUCCUGAAUAAUGUAUGACUGUCUGUACUCCCCUUUCUGUGCUUGCUAAACUGCACUUUGUUGCCACAUUUAAGUCCUGGUUCUUUCCAUUUUCCUUCUUGGAGGGGCUCUCCUUAGCGGUUCACCCAUCGCUAGCCUUCUUCCCCUGUUAGAGCUGUUAGAGCACUUGUGAUUUUGCCAACUAACAUUCCCACAACAUUUCCCACAUUCGCUGGCUCGUGUGCCCUUCAGAGGCCUUUCCGUUUAAAAAAAGAGGGAAAAAAAAGCCAAAGAUGUGUGCCUUCUUAAAAAAUUUAACUCUUAAAACUUCUUUCCUGGCACUGUAAGCAACUUUUUAAAACCUUGCUUGAAUUUGUGCUUACAGGUCAGGAGAGGGGUUAACCAGAGACUCUGAGCCAGGUGGGAUGGGAAAAAAAAAUUGAGACCUUACCAA